rnacentral:rRNA from 1 species
UACGUAGGGGGCUAGCGUUGUCCGGAUUUAUUGGGCGUAAAGAGCGUGUAGGCGGCCAGGUAGGUCUGCUGUGAAAACUUGAGGCUCAACCUCGAGACGUCGGCGGAAACCAUCUGGCUAGAGUCCGGAAGAGGAGAGUGGAAUUCCUGGUGUAGCGGUGAAAUGCGUAGAGAUCGGGCGGAACACCAGCGGCGAAGGCGGCAUCCUGGCCCUUACCUGACGCUGAGGCGCGAGAGCGUGGGGAGCAAACCGG